GACAGAGGGUGCAAACGUUGUUCGGAAUUACUGGGCGUAAAGCGCGUGUAGGCGGCUUUGCAAGUCGGAUGUGAAAGCCCACGGCUCAACCGUGGAAGUGCAUCCGAAACUGCAUGGCUCGAGUCUCGGAGAGGAAGGUGGAAUGCUUGGUGUAGAGGUGAAAUUCGUAGAUAUCAAGCAGAACACCUGCGGCGAAGGCGGCCUUCUGGACGAUGACUGACGCUGAGACGCGAAAGCGUGGGGAGCAAACAGG
rnacentral:rRNA from 1 species